rnacentral:misc_RNA from 1 species
AACUUUUAGCAACGGAUCUCUUGGUUCUGGUAUCGAUGAAGAACGCAGCGAAAUGCGAUAAGUAAUGCGAAUUGCAGAAUUUCCGUGAGUCAUCGAAUCUUUGAACGCACAUUGCGCCCACUGGUAUUCCGGUGGGCAUGCCUGUUCGAGCGUCAUUAUCCUCCCUCAAACCCCGGGUUUGGUGUUGGACUAAAGUUGUGUGAACAACUGGUCUCAAAGUCAAUGACGGCGUCCGUGGGACCCUCGGUGCAACGAGCUUUUAGGAGCACGCGUCAAGUAUCAAGGACCUUCCGGGCCGGUCUUCUUUACCAUUUUACAAGGUUGACCUCGGAUCAGGUAGGAAUACCCGCUGAAUUUAAGCAUAUCAAUAAGCGGAGGCU